rnacentral:rRNA from 1 species
GAUGAACGCUGGCGGCGUGCCUAAUACAUGCAAGUCGAGCGAACAGACGAGGAGCUUGCUCCUCUGAUGUUAGCGGCGGACGGGGGAGAAACACGUGGAUAACCUACCUAUAAGACUGGGAUAACUUCGGGAAACCGGAGCUAAUCCCGGAUAACAUGUUGAACCGCAUGGUUCAACAGUGAAAGACGGUCUUGCUGUCACUUCUCGAUGGAUCCGCGCCGCAUUAGCUAGUUGGUAAGGUAACGGCUUACCAAGGCAACGAUGCGUAGCCGACCUGAGAGGGUGAUCGGCCACACUGGAACUGAGACGCGGUCCAGACUCCUACGGGAGGCAGCAGUAGGGAAUCUUCCGCAAUGGGCGAAAGCCUGACGGAGCAGCGCCGCGUGAGUGAAGAAGGUCUUCGGAUCGUAAAACUCUGUUAUUAGGGAAGAACAAAUGUGUAAGUAACUAUGCACGUCUUGACGGUACCUAAUCAGAAAGCCACGGCUAACUACGUG